rfam:Neosartorya fischeri NRRL 181 1099437636266 genomic scaffold, whole genome shotgun sequence.
GCGGUUUUUGCGGAUGUUCUUUGUUCGCUUCUACAACGCCCUCCAAUGUCUGUUCGACGCGGAGAGGAAACAAAAACUUGUC